rnacentral:rRNA from 1 species
UACGAAGGGUGCAAGCGUUACUCGGAAUUACUGGGCGUAAAGCGUGCGUAGGUGGUUUGUUAAGUCUGUUGUGAAAGCCCCGGGCUCAACCUGGGAAUGGCAAUGGAUACUGGCAAGCUAGAGUGCGGUAGAGGGUAGUGGAAUUCCCGGUGUAGCGGUGAAAUGCGUAGAGAUCGGGAGGAACACCAGUGGCGAAGGCGGCUACCUGGACCAGCACUGACACUGAGGCACGAAGCGUGGGGAAGCAAACAGGGUUGAGAUACCCGUUGUAAUCC